ensembl:lncRNA
UUUUUUUUUUAAAGUUUUUUUUAGGUGGCUGUGCUACAGAAACACUGGUAACCAAACAACAGUGCUAGGUGGCUGUGCUACAGAAACACUGCUAACCAAACAACAGUGCUAGGUGGCUGUGCUACAGAAACACCGCUAACCAAACAACAGUGCUAGGUGGCUGUGCUACAGAAACACUGCUAACCAAACAACAGUGUUAGGGGUCUGUGCUACAGAAACACUGCUAACCAAACAACAGUGCUAGGUGGCUGUGCUACAGAAACACCGCUAACCAAACAACAGUGCUAGGUGGCUGUGCUACAGAAACACUGCUAACCAAACAACAGUGCUAGGUGGCUGUGCUACAGAAACACCGCUAACCAAACAACAGUGCUAGGUGGCAGUGCUACAGAAACACUG